AACUAAAUAGGAUUCCCUCAGUAAUGGCGAAUGAACAGGGAUCAGCUCAGCAUGGAAAUUGGGGCCCUCGGCCUUGAAUUGUAGUCUCCAGAUGCAUCGCCAAUGGAGGCGCAGAUGUAAGCCUCUUGGAAAAGAGCAUCAACGAGGGUGAGAGUCCCGCUUGUCAUCUGCAGUCCCCCAUGCACGGCAUGCCUUCUAAGAGUCGCGUUCCUCGGAAUUGGAGCGUAAAUUGGGUGGUAAAUUUCAUCUCAAGCUAAAUAUUGGUUCGAGACCGAUAGCAAACAAGUACCAUGAGGGAAAGGUGAAAAGGACUUUGAAAAGAGAGUUAAAAGUGCCUGAAAUUGCUGAAAGGGAAGCGAAUGGAACCAGUGUUGCUUGGCGAGAUUGUCAUACGCAUUCGCGUGUGGUGGUUCUUGCCUUGUGUGUCAACGCCAGUUCGUGAUCGAGGAAAACUCUAGGGACAUGGUAGCUUGCCUCUGGGUGGGCGAAUGUGCCUGGUAGAACUCAUUUGCGGACUGAUUCAUUUGUGUCUGGUUGCAGUGCCUGUUGUCACUUCGACGUGCUGGUGAUGGGGGCUCGCUCCUUGAUCUUUGCGCUCGGGUGACUGGGCAUU
rnacentral:rRNA from 1 species